rnacentral:lncRNA from 1 species
GGGCCGGGACAGUCAUCGUCGUCGUCGUCGCCGCCGCCGCUGCCGCGAAGAAGCAGUUCCACCUGGUGAAGCAGCUGGGCAACCAGACCGUGGGCAAGCAAAGGAUGCCGGCCGGCUGGCCAUGCUUGGCGAUCACCUCCAGGAUGAAGGCCUGCAUGGUGGCCUCCAGCGCUUGGUCCGUGAUGCUGGCUUCAUCCAGCCGCAGCUUCUCCCCACGGGACUUGGACCAGGCCUGACGCAUGGCCUGGGGGAUGAUGCGGGUCUCCUCACCGCAGCGCACUUCCAGCUUCACAGCAGCGUAUGGAAGAUUGGACUAGGGAGUCUAAUCAGAGCUGCAGCUGCCAGUCUCCACCACAGCAGAGGCAACACUGGACCCGAAGCCGCCUCUGCAAACUGUUUCAUGGCUCGUGGCAAUGCCAGAUCCUUAAUCCACUGAGCAAGGCCAGUGAUCAAACCUGCAUCCUCAUGGACACUAUGUCAUGUUCUUAACCCACGGAGCCGCAAUGGAAUCCACACACCUUCCUUUUUUGUUAAACUUUGGUACUCAAGUUCAUGUACAAGUUUGUGCUCUUAUGCAUUAGCCCCAUCCCCACCCAUAUACAAAGUUAAUUGCACCACAGGUGGUACAUUACUGUAAACACUCAAGUCAUUGACAAUCAGAUUCUUAAACUUUUGAUAAUUUAAACUAAAAGAUGGAAUCUGCAGUUACAUACACUUAAAUUAAAAGGUCUGUUAAAGUUAGGUUUAGAGCAGUGCAAAUAGUAAAGUGAGAGCAAGGCAAACACUUCAGAGAGAAUGAUGAUAGAGGGAAAUAAGAUGACAGGCCCCGAAGCCCCUUGUUGCUUGAGAAUGGUCUUGAUUCCUGGUAUUCUGAUGUUCAGUUUAGUUCCUUUUGAUCCUUACUCUUUUUUUUCCUUUUCUUGCUUGGAUUUUAUUUAAACAAAUAUUCAUUUACAUAAAUACCCCCAUUACUCAAAAUGAUUUCAGUGGUUUCUCUUCUUUGCAAUAGGCAUGCUGUAUUUAGAGGGACUGCUAAAGUUCCUAAAAGCUAAAAUAUGAACAAGACGCCUCUUAAACAUCUGUGGUACAUUUUAUAUACGGAAGUUGAGAGUGGGAAGCAGGAAGUUCACUGAAGAUUUUAUUAGGAAACUAUUUAUAGCAGAUGCCUAAGCAAAAUGGGUAGUGACACUCAUUACUGAAAGAGAGGAGAAAAGAUCUUAAUUUAAUUAAAUGUGUAAAUUCUCCUUUACCAUAUAAAAUUAUAUAUUCAUGGGUUACAGAGAUUAGGACAUGAACAUAUUUGGUGGAGGGUAUUAUUCUCUGUAUGAGAUCUUGUCCACCCCAGGGAGAUAAUAUAGGAUAUAAUAUGUGCUAAUACAGAAAUUAAGCACAUAUAUUUUGAUAUAAAAGAAAGCUAGAGUUCAAGCGCAAUUCUGCCACUAUCUAGCUAUGUGAUCUUAGAUACAUGUUAAAAUCAUAUAUUUUAAUUGCAACUGAAAUGACUUUUCAUUCAUUUUUAUACUAUUGCAAGGUAUGUAUAUAACAUACACAAUACAUAGACAUAACACAAAUAUAUAUCAAGUUGGCCAUAAAACUAAUCGUCACAAGAGUUUUUGUCAAAAUACUCAAAAGAUUUUUUUGCAGACAUAGACAACAUUAUAACUUUUAAAAAUGAAAAUGAAGUAUAGUUGAUGUACAAUGUUAUGUUGGUUUCAGGUGCAUAGCACAGUGAUUCAGUUACACAUACAUAUAUGGCUAUUCCUUUUUAGGUUCUUUUACCUUAUGGGUCAUUAUAAAAUAUUGAAUAUAAUUCCCUGUGCUAAAAAUAGGUCCUUUUUGGUAAUUUUUUAAUAGAAAGUCUAAGGAACUAGAUUAGCUAAGAUAGUUUUGAUAAAAAUUAUAGGUAACAAGUAGAUUUAUCUGUUUUUAAGACUUGCUAUGUAGCUGCAGUAGCCAAAACUCUGAUAAUGUGAGAGGAAUAGAUGCAUAAAGGAAUCAAAUAGGAAAUAGAUCUUCAAAAAUAUGCCUGAGGAAAGACAGACAUUUCAGUCUUUUCAAGAGGUGGUGGAACAGUUGAACAUUUAAAGGUUUAAAAAAAAUUUAAAUAAAUGAACCUCAACAUAAGCCUCAUAUCUUAUACAAUGAUUAACUCCUCAUAGAUCAUGGAAUUAUAUGUAAAAUGUAAAACUAUAAAACAUACUUAGGAAAAAAUAAGAACAUUAUGGUUAGGCAAAGAGCUCUUACACUUGCCACAAAAGCCUGAUUCAUAAAAGGAAAUGUUGAUAAAUUAAACUUCCUCAAAAUAAUUUUUUUUCCUCUGUGAAAGAUCCUGUUAAGGGAAUGAAUAGACAAGAUACAGAUCAGGACAAAAUAUUGGAACAUAACAUAUACAUCAAAGAGCUAGUAUUUAGAAGAUGUAAAGCUUUCUCAAAAGUGAAAGUAAAAAUUUAAACAGCAUACAAUUCAACUACCAUAUGGACAAAAACAUGAAGCAGCAUUUCAUUGGAGACUCAGAGAUGACAAGUAUAUGAAAAAAUAUUCAAUAUCAUUACCCAUUAGAGGAAUGAAAAUUAAAAUCACAAUCAGAUGCCAUUGCACACUUAUCAGAAUGGCUUAAAAAAGUGACACCACUAACUGUUGAUGAAUAUCCGGUAUCUUAAUUACAGAAUUAGAACAGGUUAGUGGCUAUCAGGAACAAGGGAGGGAGUGCUGAUAGGAAGGAAGUGGAUGUGAUUAUGAAAAGGCAGCAGUGAGGGGCCCUAGUGGUGAUGGCACAGUUCUCUCUCAUUACUGUAAAUGUAAAAGUCCUGAUUGUAAUAUUAUGCUACAAUUUUGCAAGUAACAAUUAGAGGAAACUGGAUAGAAGAUGCACAGGACUAGUUUCUGAAUUAUUUUUUUCCCACUAAAUAUAAAUUUACAGGUAUGUUAAAAAACAAAGUUCGGUUUUUAAAAAAUCACCUAAAAUGAAAUUAAUUAGCAUGUUUCUUAAUAAUCUCCUUGGGAGAAGUCUGGAUAUGUUGGACAAUAGAGAUGUUUUUCCUCUAAAAAUAGACAAAUGCUUAAAUAUACUAAUUAUUAUAUUAAACUCACUAAGUUUCAAAGAUAUAUCUUAUUAAAAUAAACAGAUGUUCCUAAAUGACUUUCUCAUUUUAUCUAUGAUUUAUACUUCUUUGAAAUCUAAUUAGUAAGUUUACCUUUCCUGUAGCAUAAUGCUCAGGGAAAUGCAAACAUUAUUUUUUACAUUUAAUAGAAAUU